GAACACGAUUUAGAAUUGCGAAGUCAAGUGGGUCCGAUUUCUUGUGUAUAAUGCACUAGAGAUUUGGACGGCUUGGGGAAAUUCCCCGGACACCAGGGCAGAGAGUGCCAGCGUUCAAACGCAGACUCCCUUAGCUAUGAAGCUUUGCGAAGAUGGCCUGCUUCUAUGGGCCGGAGCUUUCGGCAGAUUUGCAAGGACUGAUGGUCAUACUAAAAGUUAUGCAAUUGGCUCAGUGGCACAUAGUGAACGUCGUGUCACUGCUGCUUGGAGCUAACCCGACGGGGAUUACUCAUGUUGUGUU
rnacentral:RNase_MRP_RNA from 1 species